rnacentral:rRNA from 1 species
CCUACGGGGAGCAGCAGUGAGGAAUAUUGGUCAAUGGACGAGAGUCUGAACCAGCCAAGUAGCGUGCAGGAUGACUGCCCUAUGGGUUGUAAACUGCUUUUAUAUAGGACUAAAAUGUACUACGUGUGUGCUUUUGUAAGUACCAUAUGAAUAAGGAUCGGCUAACUCCGUGCCAGCAGCCGCGGUAAUACGGAGGAUCCGAGCGUUAUCCGGAUUUAUUGGGUUUAAAGGGAGCGUAGGUGGAUUGUUAAGUCAGUUGUGAAAGUUUGCGGCUCAACCGUAAAAUCGCAGUUGAAACUGGCAGUCUUGAGUACAGUAGAGGUGGGCGGAAUGCGUGGUGUAGCGGUGAAAUGCUUAGAUAUCACGAAGAACUCCGAUUGCGAAGGCAGCGUACUGGACUGCAACUGACACUGAGGCACGAAAGCGUGGGUAUCAAACAGGAUUAGAUACCCGAGUAGUC